rnacentral:lncRNA from 1 species
AAGGAACAUAGAUGAAGUAUCUGAUGGCAGAUAAUUUAAUGUCCUUUAUUAUUUUUUUGUUUUAGGGGUGAGGCAAUGAGAAAUGGGAGAAAAAGUUAUCCUCUACAGAUCCAGCUGUAGUUUUGUUGCUGAGAAAACACAGCCAGCACCGUGAGAGGACUAGUGGGGAUGUAGUAUUAUCUUCAGCCAACACCACCAACAUUACAUUGAGAGCAAAAAUAAAAUGAAGGCGAACUUCAGAGAGGCAGUGGGUAUAAGAGGUUUUGCUGACAGCAUGGUGUAAAGAAUAAGACCUUGAGUCUGGUGAUGAUCUUAGGAGGCCUGGGUCCUAGAAUGCUUAGGAUCAUAUGCAAAACCCCACUCAAACUCAUUUCAACUGUCUGGAAAUAUAGUACAUGCUAUGGACUUACUUCAGCACCAUUCUCAGCUGCAGUGAGAGAUAAACUUGUUUUAGGUAUUUUCAGCAUGUGUUUCAUUCUGCAUGGCUGAUAUGACAUCACAGCAACUCACAUCUCUCCCCAUAACCCAGUCAGCAAAAAGGAUUUUUAAACCACUCAACAACAGCU